rnacentral:lncRNA from 1 species
CCUUAUACAAUAAUUACUAUUUUAGGCCUAUAACAUUUGUCCCAAUGGCUUGGGCUUUCUAUUUGAAUACCCAAUUGUUACAGGAGAACUACUAGUUAUAUGCCUCAGUUGAUAAGAAACUAACACGCUUACAUAAAUGAUUGUUAAUAAAUUAAACUUUUCAAAAUAAAACCUCUAAAAUAAUCAAAAUUUUGACCAGAUAAUAAAU